rnacentral:rRNA from 1 species
UACGGAGGACGCGAGCGUUAUCCGGAUUUAUUGGGUUUAAAGGGUGCGUAGGCGGGCUUUUAAGUCAGCGGUAAAAAUUCGGGGCUCAACCCCGUCCGGCCGUUGAAACUGGGGGUCUUGAGUGGGCGAGAAGAAGGCGGAAUGCGUGGUGUAGCGGUGAAAUGCAUAGAUAUCACGCAGAACCCCGAUUGCGAAGGCAGCCUUCCGGCGCCCUACUGACGCUGAGGCACGAGAGUGCGGGGAUCGAACAGG